GGUCUGUGAUGCCCUUAGAUGUUCCGGGCUGCACGCGCGCUACACUGACAGAGACAACGAGUGGUUCCCCUUGUCCGAAAUGACUGGGUAAACUUGUGAAACUUUGUCGUGCUGGGGAUGGAGCUUUGUAAUUUUUGCUCUUCAACGAGGAAUUCCUAGUAAGCGCAAGUCAUCAGCUUGCGUUGAUUACGUCCCUGCCCUU
rnacentral:rRNA from 1 species